rnacentral:lncRNA from 1 species
GGUCCCUGACAAAAACUUCACUCCGGUUCAUGCCUCCUUUGAAUACAGCUCCAAGAACUGUCAUAGCACUAAAGUCACAACGAACAUUAAAAGUCACCAGAAUGACAGUGCGCAGGCUGGGGAGCGGCUCAGCUAGUGGAGUGCCUGCUCAGCAUGCAGGUAAUUCUGGGUUCAAUCCCCAUCAACUGGGUAGGUAUGACGCUGCGCACCCAUUACCUCAGCACGCAGGUGAGAGGUGGGGCAAGAGCACCAGAUUCAAGAUCACCCUCCAUUACAAGGUUUGAAGCCAAUCUGGGAUUCAUGAGGACCAUCUUAAAAGAGAAAGAGACGAUAACAAGAGAAGCUGGGAAGGCAGCAGUCUAUGAAGUGCUUGCUGCGCAUGCGUGAAGUCCUGAGCGUGAUCCAGAGCACCCACAUGAAAGUGGGGGCGUGACAGCACACGUAUAAUCUCAGCUUCCGGGAGAAAAAUGAGCAGAUCACUAGCCAGCAAGCCUAGCCUAACUGAGGGGUCCUAGGUCCCAGAGACAAGAUGGCUCCCAAGCAAAGACAUUUAAAGAUGACCUCUGGUCCCCACAUGCAUGUGUGCACACUCUCACUCAUAAAAUGAAAACUUAAAAAAAAAAAAAAAAGACUAUAAGA